rnacentral:rRNA from 1 species
GGCGUGCGGCGUCUAAUACAUGCAAGUCGAGCGGACAGAUGGGAGCUUGCUCCCUGAUGUUAGCGGCGGACGGGUGAGUAACACGUGGGUAACCUGCCUGUAAGACUGGGAUAACUCCGGGAAACCGGGGCUAAUACCGGAUGGUUGUUUGAACCGCAUGGUUCAAACAUAAAAGGUGGCUUCGGCUACCACUUACAGAUGGACCCGCGGCGCAUUAGCUAGUUGGUGAGGUAACGGCUCACCAAGGCAACGAUGCGUAGCCGACCUGAGAGGGUGAUCGGCCACACUGGGACUGAGACACGGCCCAGACUCCUACGGGAGGCAGCAGUAGGGAAUCUUCCGCAAUGGACGAAAGUCUGACGGAGCAACGCCGCGUGAGUGAUGAAGGUUUUCGGAUCGUAAAGCUCUGUUGUUAGGGAAGAACAAGUACCGUUCGAAUAGGGCGGUACCUUGACGGUACCUAACCAGAAAGCCACGGCUAACUACGUGCCAGCAGCCGCGGUAAUACGUAGGUGGCAAGCGUUGUCCGGAAUUAUUGGGCGUAAAGGGCUCGCAGGCGGUUUCUUAAGUCUGAUGUGAAAGCCCCCGGCUCAACCGGGGAGGGUCAUUGGAAACUGGGGAACUUGAGUGCAGAAGAGGAGAGUGGAAUUCCACGUGUAGCGGUGAAAUGCGUAGAGAUGUGGAGGAACACCAGUGGCGAAGGCGACUCUCUGGUCUGUAACUGACGCUGAGGAGCGAAAGCUGCCCUCCC